GGGAACGUAUUCACCGCAGCGUUGCUGAUCUGCGAUUACUAGCGACUCCGACUUCAUGGGGUCGAGUUGCAGACCCCAAUCCGAACUGAGACCGGCUUUUUGGGAUUCGCUCNCCCUCGCGGUAUCGCAGCCCAUUGUACCGGCCAUUGUAGCAUGUGUGCAGCCCAGGACAUAAGGGGCAUGAUGACUUUGACGUCAUCCCCACCUUCCUCCGAGUUGACCCCCGGCAGUCUCCUAUGAGUGCUCACCAUAACGUGAUGGCAACAGGAAACAAGGGUUGCGCUCGUUGCGGGACUUAACCCAACAUCUCACGACACGAGCUGACGACAGCCAUGCAGCACCUCGACAAGUGUCCUUGCGGAAGCCGACUUUAUNCGGAUGUCACCUUGCCGUUCGAGCC
rnacentral:rRNA from 1 species